UACGUAGGGCGCAAGCGUUGUCCGGAAUUAUUGGGCGUAAAGAGCUCGUAGGCGGUUUGUCGCGUCUGCUGUGAAAACCUAAGGCUCAACCUUGGGCUUGCAGUGGGUACGGGCAGACUAGAGUGCGGUAGGGGUGACUGGAAUUCCUGGUGUAGCGGUGGAAUGCGCAGAUAUCAGGAGGAACACCGGUGGCGAAGGCGGGUCUCUGGGCCUGUACUGACGCUGAGGAGCGAAAGCGUGGGGAGCGAACAGG
rnacentral:rRNA from 1 species